UCAGCAGAGGGAUGGGAAGUCCACAGGAAGGGAAGAACUGUAUGAGGUCUCUUGAAACAAGUUCAUUGAACUUUGGAAGAUAUAAGCAAGGACAGAAGCCAUCUUUGGCAUCCAGCACUUGGUGACACAAGGGACCAGAACUCUUGCAAGCUGAGAAAGAUGGGUCCUUCAGCCAAGGGGGCUGAAGUCUCUGGGAAUGGGAAACUGAUACCUGGCCUUUGACUCAGCAUGGAUGACUGGAAGGCCCUCAUUUUGAUCUAUCAAAUGGACAAGAAUCUUUGGCCAACCCUGCUGAAGAGUUUGAAGGACAGGAUCCUGCCAGAUUCUCCAAAGGAAAGAUGUGGUACCUCUGGACCUUGUACAACUGUCAGUGAAACCUCACAAUACCCCCGAGGAGCAGGGAAGUAUUUCCUAUCUGGAUAUUACAGACUGGGAAAGCCAGCUGCAGAGCGGUGCCUGACGGGGAUACCAACUUGCUGCUGCUGGAGAUGAAGCUGGUGGAGAGAAUAACAAGGAGGUGAAGGGAUAUUGCCACAACAAUAUCGUGGCAACGGCAGAGGAAUGGGCCAACUCCCCUACACACCAGCUAGGCAGAUUGAUGGAGAAGCAGCUAAGAAAAUGGAUGAAAACUGCUAUGCUCAGGGGAAAAUAAAUUAUGAGAGUGUUGAGCAGCCAAUGGUUUUGACUUUAUGUAUGUUUGAUUCGAUUUCCCGCACACACACAUUUUAAACCAGUGGACUAUGGGGAGUGAAAAGGAAUUGGCCAUCUUCCCCACUUUUAAUUCAUGGAACAAUAUGAAACGUGUGCAAUGACUUUUGAAAGCCAGUGAAAUGUGCCAGGUUUUCAUUUCACAAACGUCUGCCAGUCUCAUGUAGUCAUGAGUGUUUAGACUGCUCAGCAGCAUGGCACCUGGGCAUCUUCGUGGUAUCAGAAGGCGAGUUUUGGAAAGGUUGGCUGACGUUCGUGAAUCUUCUGAGUGAACGUGGGAGAGUUUCCAGAGGAAAUUUGGCCCCUUUUUCAUGGACAGAACACACCAUGUAAAAUUUCUUGUAAGGAUUUGAUGCAAAACUAGACGAAAUUCAGCCAGUCAGACUGUCUGUGUAGACAUCCCCAGGGUCUCACUUUGAGGGUUUGGGGUCAUUCAAACUUCAUGGGCCAGCUUUUCAGCUGCAUCCUGUAUGGACUGGGCUCCACUGGAGAGUGGGUGCUCCUCCCACUCCUGGGGCCAAUCUAUGCUGACCUUGUCCCUGGCAUACUUUAGAGCAGCCUCGGGACUGCUUUAAACUACACUAGCUAUGGCCCCAAGAGGACCUCUGGACCUCAGCAGUGCUCAGGUUAUGCCUCCUUUCCCCAAGCCCAUGCCCAUUAUCCUGGUGGUUGGAAUGGGGAGUGGUAUAGAAAUGGACAAGAUGACCACUGAUGAUCCAAGGUGGCGGGGGGGGAGGGGAAGCUAUAAGAAAUAAGACGGGAAUGAGUAAUCUUGUACCCUCCAUGGCCUACUAACCAGGUGAUGGAGGUAGACCUGUCACACCAGCUUGGGACCAGGUUCUGUCACUCUAGAUAAAGAGGAUCUGGGUACUAAGUCCCCUUCCACCUUCUCAUUCUGCUCUCACUUGUGCUGGCUGGACACAAGUACAGCUCUGCGGACACCAACAGGGUUACUCUUGAUUCACACCGAUUGGCUCAGAAUCAGGCCCUGGAAGUAAAUAUGUUUCCCCUCUCACCCAGCGUGCAAAGUUUGCAGGGCCUUUUUGGAUCUCGGCAGGAAAAGCCUGGCAUAAAUGUUAGCCCUUAUUUGUGUAGCCAGCAGUUUGGGUCUGUGUUACUAGCCUGCGAUAUCCUCAGAGGGGCUACAGCUGACGCAGACUCAGAAGGGGAUUGAUGAAUAAGCAGAAGAUACUAAUAAAAAACGAUCUCCAUGGGCAAUUUGUGUCCCUACAAUGCCAGCUCAUAAGCUGGAGAUUAACGGGGAAGGAGACAGAGCUGCUGCUGGGGCUGGAAUGAGACUCAUAUUGCAGAGAGAGGAUUAGGUGCCACCGGUAGCUGUGAGGGGAGAGAGAAGGAGAUGCAUUGCCCACUAGUUGCCAUCUCAGCUCCUGUCCUUUGCCUGUCACUCCUGUUGCUCCCACUACAGCAGGAACCAAUAUAUCUGCACUUGCUCAUUCAGAGUGGGGGAGAGGAUAUCAAAGCUGGGGGUGUCAGAAGGAAAAGCCCCUGCCAGAAACUCCCUCUCUUUCAUAUGCAGGCUGCUUCUGCUCAAGUGAAUCUGCUGAACCCCCCUCUGGCAGUGUCCCCUGGGAAGAGCGGUGUGGGACAAGGCCGAUGCUGUUAGAAGAGUAGGAUGCGCUUUUGACUCCGUCACCAUGGAAGCAUCUUUGCCCUGCUCCUCCUCCUGUUGCUCUGACGGAAGGAUCAACCCCUGCCCCUCCUGCUGGUGCAGAGAUUGCAUCACCUGCUGCAGCCACCUCUGCCGUUUCUGUCUUUGUUCUCUCCCCUGCUGGUGUUGUGAUCUGAGGAUCUGACUUUGUCUCUCUGCUACCGUAUGAUUGCAAGGAUCUAUCCCCCGCCCCUCCUGCUGCCGCCGUGUGAUUGCAGCACCCCUGCCUGUCCCUCUGUUAAUCUGCCGGGGGACAUCUCUGUGCAUGUAUCUAAUCAAUAAAGAUUCAUUCCCUUGCUGCAUGGUCUCCCUCAAAUAAACGACUCAGAAGCUGACCGGGAACCUUUCCGAGCCUCUGCGUUGUUCUGCAGCGCCACCCGUUCGCUGCCAUUAAAGGGCUAAUGUGCUACGAAGCCUGCUUCCUCAGUGCGUCUCAUCUCCUUCGAAAUUUCCUCCUUUAUCAUACCCAGCCUCUUCUCACUUGCAGCUGCUGUUCUCGUCCAUCCCCAUCAAGCACCAGGCAGUGUCUCCAGGAUUAUCUCCGUGCCAGGAACAUGACCAGGGCUAAGAGCCAGAUUUUCAAAGGUGUUUGGGGCCAGGUCCGCGAAGGUCUUUAGGCACCUAACUUCCACUGAUUGAAAUGCCUAAAGACCUUUGUGGAUCUGGGCCUAAGUGCCUAAAGA